CCCUCCUAGACAAGACAAAUGAUUUUGUUCUUGGCCAUCACCUCACAGUGUUGGCCCCUCAUGACAUUACUGCAAUCCUGCAACAAGUUCAACCUAAACACCUUUCCUCCCAACGUCACCUCCGUCUGCAAACCUCCUUACUUCUACCUGACAAUGUGAAACUCCAGAGAUGUCUUUCCCUGAACCCAGCCACUCUUCUGCCACUUCCCAAGGGGGGAGUUGUGCAUUACUGGUAUAGCCUGGAUAUCAACCCAGAGGUCCGAACAGAUUUGCAGCUGCCUGCACUUGCACCUCCACAUGACGAACAAUCAGAGGCCCUACUUCACUGC